AGCUUUGUGCAGUGGCAGUAUCGUAGCCAAUGAAGUUUAUCCGAGGCUCAAUUAUUGCUAAUUGAAAACUUUUCCCAGUACCCCAUCAUGACUUGAAAAUGUCUCAGAAUUACAGGUGUGUUCUGUCAGAC
ensembl:snRNA U4 U4 spliceosomal RNA